rnacentral:rRNA from 1 species
AUACGAAGGGGGCUAGCGUUGUUCGGAAUUACUGGGCGUAAAGAGCGUGUAGGCGGAUUAUCAAGUCAGAGGUGAAAGCCCAGGGCUCAACCUUGGAACUGCCUUUGAAACUGAUAAUCUUGAGACUCGGAGGGGAUGGCGGAAUUCCUAAUGUAGGGGUGAAAUCCGUAGAUAUUAGGAGGAACACCGGUGGCGAAGGCGGCCAUCUGGACGAGUACUGACGCUGAGACGCGAAAGCGUGGGGAGCAAACAGGAUUAGAAACCCUAGUAGUCC